rnacentral:rRNA from 1 species
GGGGGCAACCCUGAUCCAGCCAUGCCGCGUGUGUGAAGAAGGCCUUCGGGUUGUAAAGCACUUUCAGUAGGGAGGAAGGCUUUCGGUUAAUACCCCGGGAGUACUUGACGUUACCUACAGAAGAAGCACCGGCUAAUUUCGUGCCAGCAGCCGCGGUAAUACGAAAGGUGCAAGCGUUAAUCGGAAUUACUGGGCGUAAAGCGCGCGUAGGCGGUGUGUUAAGUCGGAUGUGAAAGCCCAGGGCUCAACCUUGGAAUUGCAUCCGAUACUGGCACGCUAGAGUGCAGUAGAGGGAGGUGGAAUUUCCGGUGUAGCGGUGAAAUGCGUAGAGAUCGGAAGGAACACCAGUGGCGAAGGCGGCCUCCUGGACUGRCACUGACGCUGARGUGCGAAAGCGUGGGGAGCAAACAGGAUUAGAUACCCUGGUAGUCCACGCCGUAAACGAUGUCUACUAGCCGUCGGGAUCCUUAGUGAUCUUGGUGGCGCAGCUAACGCGAUAAGUAGACCGCCUGGG